rnacentral:rRNA from 1 species
AUUGAACGCUGGCGGCAUGCCUUACACAUGCAAGUCGAACGGCAGCGCGGACUUCGGUCUGGCGGCGAGUGGCGAACGGGUGAGUAAUACAUCGGAACGUACCCUGUUGUGGGGGAUAACUAGUCGAAAGAUUAGCUAAUACCGCAUACGACCUGAGGGUGAAAGUGGGGGACCGCAAGGCCUCACGCAGCAGGAGCGGCCGAUGUCUGAUUAGCUAGUUGGUGGGGUAAAGGCCCACCAAGGCGACGAUCAGUAGCUGGUCUGAGAGGACGAUCAGCAACACUGGGACUGAGACACGGCCCAGACUCCUACGGGAGGAAGCAGUGGGGAAUUUUGGACUAUGGGGGCAACCCUGAUCCAGCAAUGCCGCGUGUGUGAAGAAGGCCUUCGGGUUGUAAAGCACUUUUGUCCGGAAAGAAAUCGCGCUGGUUAAUACCUGGCGUGGAUGACGGUACCGGAAGAAUAAGCACCGGCUAACUACGUGCCAGCAGCCGCCGCUGUAA